AUUUUAAACAUGAUGAAAAUUUCUGUGUUGCUGGUUGUUGUUCUAUUUGGGCUCGUAUGCAGUCGUUCAGUGCCUGUUAGUGGUAUGUACUACUAUGUUGCUUUAUGUAUUUAUGUAGUUUUACUUUAAGGAGACCAAGCUUUCGUUGGUAGGAAUGCAACUACCUGAAAAAUAUAACGAGAAUUUCGACGUAUCGAGGGAAAGCCCUUCCUUUGGAGUACGUCAAGGGGACCCCCCCUUUCAAAUUAAGCUGAGUUUAAACUCAGUUCCGAGCGAAAACAUGCACUUGAAAAUUGUGUCAAAUUAUAAACCAGCCGUAAUUACAUAAAAAAUGCAGGGCGCAAUAAUUAAUCAGCGUUAGGAUUAAAGGAAUACCGAAUGGUUUUCCUUGCAGGAUUUCGUGAUCCAUGCACGAGGGAUGUCGCGAGGCUUUCGGAAAGCGUAAAUACUCGAGCCGCAGGCGAGUGUAUUCAGUUACGCUUUCCAAAAGUCGAACAACAUCCCAAGUGCAUGCAUCAUGCUAUUCUGCUUGGUAAGUCAUUUGGCAAUUGUUUUUAUAAAAUAACUACAGUGAAAAAUGACAUUUCGCGAAGGCAUUUUAAUUCCUCGUGCAGGAUAGCCUGAUCCUGCACGACUUACGAUUAUUGGCUAUUGCGUGUUUCACUGUAGUUAUUAUAUGACGAGUUUUACCUGUUCUAUGCUACCUUUUGGACUAUGAUAUAGAUAAGUGGUUGGAUGGCGCGCCAACGAAAGCGAAUGGAACCUCGAGUAGAACCUGCAAAGGUUAUCACAUUGAAUGCACAACGAGCGCUGAAUGCUGCCACCAAUAUCAUUGUUCUUCACCUUACUCAAGCUCAAGUAAGUUAAUUAGAUAAUCAAAGA